rnacentral:lncRNA from 1 species
AGCACGCUUGAUGCGUCCUCAGACUGAGGAGAAAAGGCGCCAGGUGCUGAUUGGCUCGAAGCGCAAGGAGGUCGAGGCUGAAAUCCAGAGCGAGUACCAGCAGUGCACAUGGAGGCAGAGCUUGGAGAGAAGCCAGAACCCUUUCCACCGCCUGCUGGAGGGUGACUCUCGUCCUUCCUACAUCAUGAGAAGGGAGUAUGACCAGCAGCUGAGAGAGAGGCUGAAGGGGAAGGACGGGUGCCAAAAACCCGCAGGGCAGACAGCGCUAGAGGGGUGGCAAAACAAGCCACAGCUCCCGAGGACAUCACGGGAACAGUAAGUGUGUUCUAGCUCCUUCAGAGUCCUGG